CAGUCGCCGCGGGAAUACGGAGGGUGCAAGCGUUAAUCGGAAUUACUGGGCGUAAAGCGCACGCAGGCGGUCUGUCAAGUCAGAUGUGAAAUCCCCGGGCUUAACCUGGGAACUGCAUUUGAAACUGGCAGGCUAGAGUCUUGUAGAGGGGGGUAGAAUUCCAGGUGUAGCGGUGAAAUGCGUAGAUAUGCGGAGGAACACCGAUGGCGAAGGCAAUCCCCUGGGCCUGUACUGACGCUCAUGCACGAAAGCGUGGGGAGCAAACAGGAUUAGAUACCCGCGUAGUCCCUGUCUCUUAUAC
rnacentral:rRNA from 1 species